GGGCUUGCCACGCCUGCAGCAACCUAAACGCCCCAGGCGAUCCCUCGCAGCCUCACAAAUAAAACCACUAACACGAUUCUGUGUUCCCUUCAAUCAGAACGCAGGCUCACAUCUCUCUUCCCUAACCAGCUCCCACAGGGACCUGGCAGGGUGCCCCUUCCCCGUCCUGAAGCCUGGCUGCUUUGGCACGGGGACAGGGGAACCUCCCGCAGCCGAGGCAGGCACAGCCCCCUCCCCGCCCAGGCACACGCAGGCUGGGGAGUCGCUCCCUGCCCCCUCUCGGAGUUGACCCCGGUGCCAGGACUCCCCUCAGUCCUCUUCCGUAUCCCGAGGGCUGUAAUGCGGCUCCUGCACCCCAGCAGAGCAUCAGCCCGUCCCAGCGGACCCGGGAACCUGAGCUGCGGGCAGGAUUGAAGUUAUGUGGAGAGCCCUGCCUGCCCUGGUGCUAUGGGGGCUGUAGUCAGGAGGCAAGGAGGAGCAAAGGAGGAGAAUAUUGCCUCAUCUGCUCACAACAAGCCAGGCCACCUGGCAUGGGAGCGGUAUGGGCAUAGCAGAGAGCAUGUGAAUCACCCUGGACGUGCAGAUCACUAUGGGCCUGACUGUGUGCAACAUUGAGACACUCAGCAACUCCUCAUUUCCACAGGCACUGAGGUCACUGGAAACAAUCAGUAAUUUUCAACAGAAUGCUUAAGCAGUGAGAAAAAAUACACCAAGGAUAAUAACUAAGCAAAUAAAUUUUAUGUGAUAAAUGGGAAGAGAAGUUUCAUUUGACAAGUUAAGCAGAUGGAGCUAUGGCCAAUUUCUUUAAUCUACUGGUACAUGAGUGUUAUGUUUAAUUUUCAAGUGGUGUUUAGUUGUAGAUUAGGAAUUGGAAACAAUUCAGUUGUUCACAGCAAGCCAGUUUCUCUUGCUGUUCCCUAAUUUGGAAUACUGUUCUGUUUCCAAGAUGGUGUUUAUCCCCUAAUUCUUCAGGUUCAUAUUACGUUCACGCAAGUAAUUUCAGAAGACACGUUCACUAGCUAGCACCCAUCUCCUCUUGCACUUGUACACCACACAACAUUUAUAAUUAAGCCUCUUAGGAAGUUAGCUGCAUGGCCCAUGAUUAACUUCCCUUAAUUCCUCAUUGUUAAAGCUCAGUGCAAAGAUCUCUAGAGUAAUCAGCCCACCUUUCCAACUGGAAAUGUAGCAUAUAAAUCAGUAUUCACUAAAGUACCAUCCCAGCAUGAAAAAUGAGUACUGGUGCCUUUAUCACUGUCUAACAGGCCAUACAGGCUUAUCCAAAGAAAGUGUUUCCCAGCAGAUGAGGCAGAUAAAGCGGGUGAUCAGAGGCUGUUGACACACAGCACAGCAUCUGUAAUUAAGUCACUAGGGAAGCUGGCAUGGAAUGCUGUGACAAAGAUAGGAUCCAAUUUACACACAGCUUUCAGCAAAUCUUAAAAUGCUGUCUGAGUAAAACCCAGCCGCUUCUGACUUACUGCAUGCUAGAAAUUUGUCAAAUAGUGGUGAGAAAAGGGGGGUAGAGGGUGCAUUGUUUAUCAAACAUGUAAAUUGGAUAUUUUUUAGUGAUUUUAUGUUCCUGAUUCUCUUUC